rnacentral:lncRNA from 13 species
UUUUUUGGUGCUUAUACUCUUUAGGUUCAUUCGUAAGAAUCUGUCUUUUUUUGUUUUCUGUCACUUGUAACAGAAUACCUGAAACUGGAUAAUUUAUAAGGGAGAGGAAUUUAUUUCUUACACUUAUGAAGACUGAGAAACCCAACAUCAAAUGGCCACAUCUGGUGAGGGCCUUCUUGCUGGUGGGGACUCUCUGCUGAGUCCUGAGGGUGUGCAGGACAUCUCAUGAUGAAGUCUCACUCUGUCUCCCAGGCUGGAGUGCAGAGCCGCCAUCUGAGCCCACUGCAAUCUCCACCUCCCAGGUUCGAGCAAUUCUCCUGCCUCAGCCUCUUGAGUAGCUGGGAUUACAGGUGAGUGCCACCACACCUGGCUAUUUUUUUUUUUUUUUAUGUAUUUUUAGUAGAGACAGGAUUUUACUAUGUUGGCCAGGCUGGUGUCGAACUCCUGACCUCAGAUGAUCCACCCAUCUAGGCAUCCCAAAGUGCUGGGAUUACAGGUGUGAGCCAGAGCCACCACACCUGGCC